rnacentral:rRNA from 1 species
UCUUAGCAACCGGAUUUGGUCCUAGUCCUACACUUGGCCCCUUCUAAAGCGACACAUGCAAGCCUUUCGCAACACAGUGAGUAAUUCUUUCAAUAACCACCCUAAAAAGCACGGUUAUAUAAUCAAGGUAUCAGAAAAUCCAAUCCAUAUUCAAUGACACCUAGCCAACCACAUCUGCAGUGCCUAGUAUUAUACAAUAAGUUAAAGCUUGAUAUAGUUAUAGACUUAAGAGUCGGUAAAUUAUGUGCCAGCCACCGCGGUUAUACAUAAGACUCAAGCCAAGAAAUCUAUCGGUCUAAAGGUGACUAAAGAUAACUUCAUUUUAGGGUAGAAAAUAACUCUAGUAUUAAUAAGCUUUCACAGUAAACUAAUUACAACUGUAAUAUUACCCUAAACCUACACCCAACUUGAUGCACCAAAGCUCAAAAAUAAACUGGGAUUAGAUACCCCACUAUAU